GAUGAACGCUGGCGGCGUGCCUAAUACAUGCAAGUCGAGCGAACAGACGAGGAGCUUGCUCCUCUGACGUUAGCGGCGGACGGGUGAGUAACACGUGGAUAACCUACCUAUAAGACUGGGAUAACUUCGGGAAACCGGAGCUAAUACCGGAUAAUAUAUUGAACCGCAUGGUUCAAUAGUGAAAGACGGUUUUGCUGUCACUUAUAGAUGGAUCCGCGCCGCAUUAGCUAGUUGGUAAGGUAACGGCUUACCAAGGCAACGAUGCGUAGCCGACCUGAGAGGGUGAUCGGCCACACUGGAACUGAGACACGGUCCAGACUCCUACGGGAGGCAGCAGUAGGGAAUCUGCCGCAAUGGGCGAAAGCCUGACGGAGCAACGCCGCGUGAGUGAUGAAGGUCUUCGGAUCGUAAAACUCUGUUAUUAGGGAAGAACAAAUGUGUAAGUAACUAUGCACGUCUUGACGGUACCUAAUCAGAAAGCCACGGCUAACUGCGUG
rnacentral:rRNA from 1 species